rnacentral:rRNA from 1 species
AGCAGUCGCCGCGGUAAUACGAAGGGGGCUAGCGUUGCUCGGAAUUACUGGGCGUAAAGGGAGCGUAGGCGGAUCGUUAAGUUGGGGGUGAAAGCCCGGGGCUCAACCUCGGAACUGCCUUCAAUACUGGCGAUCUUGAGUAUGAGAGAGGUGUGUGGAACUCCGAGUGUAGAGGUGAAAUUCGUAGAUAUUCGGAAGAACACCGGUGGCGAAGGCGACACACUGGCUCAUUACUGACGCUGAGGCUCGAAAGCGUGGGGAGCAAACAGGAUUAGAGACCCCGGUAGUCCCUGUCUCUUAUAC